CAGUAGCCACGGGAAUACGGAGGGGGCCAGCGUUGUUCGGAAUUACUGGGCGUAAAGCGUACGUAGGCGGCUUUGUAAGUUAGAGGUGAAAGCCUGGUGCUCAACACCAGAACUGCCUUUAAGACUGCAUCGCUUGAACGUCGGAGAGGUGAGUGGAAUUCCGAGUGUAGAGGUGAAAUUCGUAGAUAUUCGGAAGAACACCAGUGGCGAGGGCGGCUCACUGGCUCAUUCUAGACGCUGAGGUGCGAAAGCGUGGGGAGCAACCAGGAUUAGAUACCCCCGUAGUCCCUGUCUCUUAUAC
rnacentral:rRNA from 1 species